GAUGAACGCUGGCGGCGUGCCUAAUACAUGCAAGUCGAACGAAACUUCUUUAUCACCGAGUGCUUGCACUCACCGAUAAAGAGUUGAGUGGCGAACGGGUGAGUAACACGUGGGCAACCUGCCCAAAAGAGGGGGAUAACACUUGGAAACAGGUGCUAAUACCGCAUAACCAUAGUUACCGCAUGGUAACUAUGUAAAAGGUGGCUAUACUACCGCUUUUGGAUGGGCCCGCGGCGCAUUAGCUAGUUGGUAGGGUAAAGGCUUACCAAGGCAAUGAUGCGUAGCCGAAUUGAGAGGUUGAUCGGCCACAUUGGGACUGAGACACGGCCCAAACUCCUACGGGAGGCAGCAGUAGGGAAUCUGCCACAAUGGGCGAAAGCCUGAUGGAGCAACGCCGCGUGGGUGAAGAAGGUCUUCGGAUCGUAAAACCCUGUUGUUAGAGAAGAAAGUGCGUGAGAGUAACUGUUCACGUUUCGACGGUAUCUAACCAGAAAGCCACGGCUAACUACGU
rnacentral:rRNA from 1 species